rnacentral:rRNA from 1 species
UACGGAGGAGGCAAGCGUUAUCCGGAAUUAUUGGGCGUAAAGCGUCCGUAGGUGGCUCUUCAAGUCUGCUGUCAAAGACUGGGGCUUAACCCUGGAAAGGCGGUGGAAACUGAAGCGCUAGAGUGCGGUAGGGGUAGAGGGAAUUCCCGGUGUAGCGGUGAAAUGCGUAGAGAUCGGGAAGAACAUCGGUGGCGAAAGCGCUCUACUGGACCGCAACUGACACUCAGGGACGAAAGCUAGGGGAGCGAAUGGG